GAAGAAGAACGCAGCGAAAUGCGAUACGUAGUGUGAAUUGCAGAAUUCAGUGAAUCAUCGAAUCUUUGAACGCACAUUGCACCUCUCGGUAUUCCGGGAGGUAUGCCUGUUCGAGCGUCAUUUGUACCCUCAAGCUCUGCUUGGUGUUGGGUGUUUGUUCCGCCUCUGUGUGUGAACUCGCCUCAAAACAAUUGGCAGCCGGCGUACUUGUUUCGGAGCGCAGCACAUUUUGCGAUCCAGAUCAACGUACAGCGGCAUCCAAGAAGCCUUAUUUAACGCUCUUGACCUCGGAUCAGGUAGGGAUACCCGCUGAACUUAAGCGUAUCAAUAAGCGGAGGA
rnacentral:misc_RNA from 1 species